rnacentral:tRNA from 1 species
GGUUCCAUAGUGUAGCAGUUAGCAAGUCUGCUUUACAGGCAGAAGGUCCUGGGUUCGAGCCCCAGUGGAGACA